AGGGUUCCCUGGGCCUGCCCGGUCCCCCUGGAAGAGACGGCAGCAAAGGCAUGCGGGGGGAGCCAGGAGAGCCGGGAGAGCCGGGGCUGCCGGGCGAGGUGGGCAUGCGGGGAUUCCAAGGACCACCUGGCCUCUCCGGGCCUCCUGGACACAUUGGAGCUCCUGGUCUCCAAGGAGAACGGGGUGAAAAGGGAAACCGAGGAGAAAAGG